GCCCCAGGUCCGGGGGGCGCGCACGCGCGAACCGCGUCAGGACCGUGAAGGUAGCAGCGCUAAGCGAUGUUGCACGUCGCUCCGGGGCGCCUGGGGCACU
rnacentral:SRP_RNA from 1 species